rnacentral:rRNA from 1 species
UACGUAGGGUGCAAGCGUUAAUCGGAAUUACUGGGCGUAAAGCGUGCGCAGGCGGUUAUGCAAGACAGAUGUGAAAUCCCCGGGCUUAACCUGGGAACCGCAUUUGUGACUGCAUAGCUGGAGUACGGCAGAGGGGGAUGGAAUUCCGCGUGUAGCAGUGAGAUGCGUAGAUAUGCGGAGGAACACCGAUGGCGAAGGCAAUCCCCUGGGCCUGCACUGACGCUCAUGCACGAAAGCGUGGGGGGCAAACAGG